AUGCAGUCGCGCGAGAGAGGGUUCGCAAGGACCCCGGUAAAGCGGCGAAAGGGUGAGUACUACCUAGGUAACCUGCCCUGAAGACGGGGACAACGUCGGGAAACCGACGCUAAUACCCGAUAUGGUGAUCUGGUCGCAUGGCCGGAUCAGCAAAGGUAGCCUCUGUUUACAAGCUUCCACUUCAGGAGGGGCCUCGGGCCUAUCAGCUAGUUGGUGGGGUAACGGCCCACCAAGGCGGGGACGGGUAGCCGGUCUGAGAGGAUGGUCGGCCACACUGGGACUGAGAUACUGCCCAGACUCCUACGGGAGGCUGCAGUCGAGGAUCUUCCGCAAUGGGCGGAAGCCUGACGGAGCGACGCCGCGUGUGGGAGGAAGGCCUUCGGGUUGUAAACCACUGUUACCCGUUAAGAAACGGCGGACGUGAAUAGCGUCCGUCGUGACAAAGGCGGGGGAGAAAGCCACGGCUAACUUCGUGCCAGCAGCCGCGGUAAUACGAAGGUGGCAAGCGUUGUUCGGAAUCACUGGGCAUAAAGCGCACGUAGGCGGCCGGGUCAGUCGGAUGUGAAAUCCCUCAGCUCAACUGAGGAACUGCCUCCGAUACUGCCUGGCUUGAGGUCUGGAGGGGGGAACGGAAUUCCUGGUGGAGCGGUGAAAUGCGUAGAGAUCAGGAGGAACGCCGGCGGCGAAAGCGGUUCCCUGGACAGAUUCUGACGCUGAGGCGCGAAAGCUAGGGGAGCAAACGGGAUUAGAUACCCCGGUAGUCCUAGCCCUAAACGAUGGGUACUAGGUAGUGGGCUUACAUG
rnacentral:rRNA from 1 species